ensembl:lncRNA
GGCAGAUCUUGGUAAACUCCAGAGGAGACACCACAAUCUCUCCGGACAGCCUGUUCCAGUGCUCUAUCACUUUCACAGUAAAGUUCCUCCUGAUUUCAUACAGAACUUCGUGUGUUCCAAUUACUUUCUGUUACCCCUUGUUUAGUGGUGUGCACACCACUGAGAAGGGCUGAAAAUGUAGCGGACCUAAGAUGGGAGACUGAUCUCUCCGCGCUUCUGAAAUAUGUAACUAACAGUGGAGCUUACAUUGUCCAGGAGCCAGUCAAGCAGUGUGUGGAAUGUCACGUGUUCAGCAUGCCCUGUACCAGUACAGUAAGGCCACAGUGCCUUUGCAGCCCUUGCAAAAUAAGAGCUGUCAAGAAGCACCUUAAGUGACUACAGAACUGACGUUGAACAACUAGUUAAGUUUUCCACAUCCUCGUCUUUAUUCAAGAAAGAGCAUGUACAAAACAUAGCAAAUACCUACCCUUCUCAGCAACAUUAACAUGUAAUAAAUCCUGAUUAAAGCCACCAAGGGAAGGUUUUCUGUAGUAAAAUUCUGCAGCUUCUGAUGAUACAUUCAAUAGACUGAUUUACAUAGUUAACUCACUGAGAAGCAGCCUCUGACCAGCCAAAGCAGCUGGUUAUUACUGAAAAACCAAAGCAGAGGUUAUGCAGUAAGCCAAGUCACUCCUGGAGUUCAGUCACAUCAUUACUGUAUGGCUUUGUAGUCAGGCACUUUAUUUCUGAUCUUCCCAAUGCUUCAGAUGCUGCUACUUAGUGUUCUGCACUUCUGCGGUGCUGCACUGGUAGGAAAAUGGGCCUUUCAAGUAUUUGGUGUUUAGAAAUAAGUGCAUUUCAUUAAGUUCUUUCAGAUCCCUAGAGAAAGUUAACUGCUAGCAUCCAAUGCUGUCAUUUUUGGCUGCAGACUACAGGGCUGUUUCCUUAUUUCGGUACAUUCCAAAAUCAUUCAGUAACCACAGCACUACUGAUCAUUGGCUACCACGCAGUUGUCACAUUCCCUCCUUUAUAAAGCAUUCCUGAGAAGGCAGUACAAGAGCCACACCUUAAGGUGGAUUGCAUCUUCCGUGCAUAAUUUGUCUUUAAAGGCAACUUACUCAGAAAACCAAUUUACAAUCCCUCUCUUCCUCAGUGGAAGAGAGAUGAUCUGCUUAAUACAACAAAUACAAUGUUAAGAUGUUACUGUGUGGUUAGUGACUGCUGGCAAGCAAAACUUCCAAUGUUUCUAUUCCUUUUCCUCCCACACUGGGAACAGAUAACACUGCCAAUGUCUUCUUCAGUGGGCACAGUUCCAGUUCCGAUACUGGUCUUUCCAUGCUAAAUUGGCAGCUCAUGAAAACUCCCUUUUCCUUCUCUCCCCAUCUAGAUGCAGAAGAAAAUGAAAGCUUUAGUCUAUGCUUUUUCUGUAACCACAACUUCCUCACGCCACCUGAAAUUUCAAGCGUUUCUUUUUACAGGUGCUUCAUGUUGAUGCUUCCACACCACCUCAUCUACCUCCUUCAAUCUCCCACAUGACAUCAUCAAGGAGCACUCAGUAGUUUGAAUUUAUGUAUCAAUGCUGCAUGGCCUACCUGCAACUUCCAUUGUUUUGAGUUAUUACAGAUGCUCAGUAUCAAAGUCUGCAUACCCUUACAUUUUCUAAGGGCCAAUAGUCUGUUUCUUUUUCAUAUAUUGAAGCUCACCACUCAUUUCCCUACUGCCACUGUUAUCCUUCCCAAAGGGGGCAGUUUGAUGUUUUGAGAGAAGCAUUAUUUUAAGUAUGCAGAGACAGUAAUUUUGGUUCACGUGCAGUUUUUGAUAACGGUAUCUGCUAAACAAUUUCAACAACUGUUUCAGCAGGAUUUUAAAAGCAUGGUCCCACUCCAAGCGAGAACAUCUCUUCAGGUGUUACACUUUCUUCCAGUUACAGAUCAUCCACAUUUGUCAAGCAGCACUGACAAAAACGUUCCAACUCACUGGAAAAAGGAGAACAAGGUCUAAAUAAAAUGGUUCAUUUGAGGAAGAAACUUAAACUUGCAAAUAAGCACAGAAUUGUAUACUUUUUACUUUUCUUUUUCUUUGCAAAAGCACCUAAAACUGCACAGAACUUGUAAUACUUUUCAGUAAGUUUAAAUCUAGUCUUCUCAUCUCAUCUCAGAUGCCGGAUCCGUAGUAGGUUUUUCAGCAAAGAAUUCAGGUUCGGGAUAGGAUCAUCAUAGAUGAGAUGCAGAGACCGCACCACAAAAGCAAAUCUAAUACAUGAUGUGCUUUUCUUUUUUGAUAGUGUUGCUGACUGCAAUGAAAAGACUGAGCAUUCUUUGUCUUAUCACACAUAAAUAAGGUAUUUAAAAGUUCACAGGCAGAUUUUAAGGUUAGCAAAAGUUAAGCACAACUAUGGCACAUGCAGUCCCUUGGGUAGUAAGCGAUCUUAUACUUAGUACAUAUACACAGUAAGUAGUAAGCUACUGUACAAACCUACUGUAUCAGCUAUUGAAGUGCAUUAGCAACAAUCAUAGUCCUAAAAAUUUCUAACUUGUAAACACAGACUUACUUCAGACUUAUUCAUAAAACGCUUGGAAGCUUUCUAAUUACAUACCUGAACAAAUUAAAGCAUUUGUUUGUACAGUUGUGACCAUUUUCCUGCUGGAAAAGAGACAUUUAUUAGCUCAGAAAUGUUUUCUUCCAUCACUCAAAACACAACUUACUAUUUGGUCUAUCAUACAUUACUAAGCACGUGGUGGAAUAAUACCAGUACUUAUUAAGCUCCACAGAACUUUACCUACAAGGGUUCUCACAUCAAAGUAAGAUUUUUUUACAUGUCUUACCUGGACACUACUUAACUUUGCUAUAAGCUGUGACAGACAACUAAUCUGUUAAGUCUAGGUCUCUCUCUACCAUAAUCAAAAGCUUAAUUUCUGAAAACGAUAGUGAGAAUAUGGUUCUCAGCUUGUAUCAACACAUUAAAAACUCCAAUCUACCAACAUGCAUUAUAUUAAAAAACCUAUUCUAUGUAGGACACCUGAAGCAACAUGAAAAUUAAGCACGGUAUUUCGAGCUGGAACUGAUAAAACCUACCAUUAAGGCCAAUAUAGAUGAUGAAAAAUUUCAGCAUUUCCCAUGAUGCACAUACACAAACUCUACUGUAUUUCAGAUAUGCCAUCUGCAGUAAUUGCUUACAUGUCACCUUGUACUUUUGAACGGGGCUGACAUGAUAAUGCAGUUUUAAAUACAGUCAUUCAAACCUAGCUUGCCAAGUUUUCAAGGCCUGAAAGAACUACCAAAUCUAUCAUCUUUUUAAUGUUUUACCUACCAUGGCACAAUAAUAUAAUCCCAAGUCAGACAUGCAUUUUUACAAUUUGAUUCUAUCAUUAUUGAAGUCAUACCUUCAAAGAAGCAGCCUUCAAGCAUCCCUGCAAAGACAAAAAUUGCACCAAUUAGUUUUAUUAACAAGGCUUGCUACUUUCAGCUUUCCUUCAGACUCCUGUCUAAACAAAGCAUUAUUUUACAGGUAGCACUUCCACACAGAAAGCUUCACUCCUAUGUUUAAACUCUACACAUUGGGACAAAACCCAUUCUUUAAAAGAAAUUGUUAGCAGCAGUCUUUAAAUGCAUUUCUUUAGGAAGGAGUGAAAUAAAAUUACAGACGUGCAGUUGGACAACAAAAUUAGAACCUCACAGUACCAGAUUGAUUUUUAAAAUAAAAACUGAACUUGUACAGAAAUAGUGGUUCAAAACCCACAUUUCAUUGAGAAAGAUUACAUUCAGAAAAAUGUGAAGAAUGAAGACCUUGAACAAAGAGCUACCAAUACACCUAAGGCACAAUGAGUGUUCUUGUGCACACUUUUUGCCUGCUGCAGGUAUAUUUAGACUAGCCCUUCCGAAUUAGUUUAACACUAGAGCUGAAACAGCUUUAAUUCAUUACAAUUCACCUCUAAUCAUUAACUUUAGCAAUUCUUACUAUCUGCAUCAGAAUGCAUCCUAAGUUAACAGUGCUUUCUGAAAAAGUCAUAGUGCAAGUGUCAUCAGCUAUUUCUAAACUUUCAGAACUUGGUGAGUUUCUCACUUUUAUGCUCCAAGACAAGCUACCUCAAAUUACAGGGAUCUAAGCUUGUCCUCUCUUGUCUUUAAAGUGCUACCAUUUGCUGGGCAACAGCAUGUCCAUAAGCCAAGUUUCAGUAGUGCACCAAAAGCCUUAUUCACAAUAUUGAGCUUGUAUAUGAGAACAGCAUAGAAGUAAAACUAACUGGAAGAGUGAGUGACAGAAAGAUUAAAUGACUUUUGAAAGAAAAGUGGUUUUAUCUCAGAAGCCAGAUCCGUAUGAAGUUUCUCAUCAACAAAUCAGGUAUGGCAACUUCAUCACAAUCCACCACUUAAGUAAUUGUACUGGAAAGGACAUAUGCAUAGUUUUAAUAUGGAAUACAUCAACAAAAGGUUUCAGCAGUUUAACACUAAGUAUUACCUCUAUCUGUUGUAGUACAGUUGCCAGGACAUCUUUCAUCACAAUGCUCAACUUUUUUCCAUUAUUAAAAACUGUUGAUACGCCAUCCUAGAUAGGAAUAAAGCAAUUAGAAUAAGUUCAAUUCAGUAACAGAACCCACUUGGGAUGACCAAGUUUUAGUCAUGUGGAUCGCCCUUCCUCCCCAUUUUUCCUUUCCAGACACAGCCACUGGUUGUACGCAUUUGAGUUUGACGUGUUGAAUUGAACAGAUCCUAAUAUUGUUUCUUAGCAUUUCCAAAAAGUGAAAAUACAGACUACACUCUUAAAAAAUGAGUAAUACGUUUUAAUAGGAAACUUGGAACUAGAUUUGUCUGUUCAUACUGACAAAGAACUUCCAGCUGUCAACUUCAUUUUCUUCACCUCAGCUCUUACACUAAUUUUCUGAUACAGUGUACACUGACAGAUAAUUAUAAGUCACCUUGAGGUAAUCUGUCACAUUUACGAUGUAAAUCUUAGACAUAUUUUACCAGCUCCCUCACAAGCAGUUUGAAAUAACUGAAACUAUUCACCCACCCUCCUAGCCUACACAUUUCAACAUGGAUCAUGUCAAAUAACAUGCCUGAAAUACACUAAUAUCUCAUUUUUAAAGCUAAUUACAAUGUUACUAAUUUGAUUACAAGUAUGUUGCUAAGCCAUUUAACAAGUCAAUUUAUCCCCACAGAUCAUUCAAAACAUACACAGCUUUCAGGAAAAUCCACUUGUGUGUACCAAAUACUCCUCUAGUUCCGAUGGUGCUUCCAUGAUGGGCUAAAAUCAAAAUUAAGCAAAAAUGAGAUCAAGUAAAAAAUCUGUUACAAUGGUCUAAGCAUUAUCUCACACAAUACCAUGUCAGGAAGUGAUAAGCAGGAACUAAAAUUUCUUUUCAUACAAAAAAAAAUAUCAAUAUUAGUCUACAAUUGUCUGCCAAGAACUUGCAAGUUGAAAUUCUAUAUACAGUAGAAAAAAGGUGGCCUGAAAUCAUUUUAGAUCAUUUUUCUAGGAUGAAGAACCAAGUCAUUUAAACUUCUGUUUUACGUUACACAUUUAUUCACAAUGUCAGUACUAAUAUUUGUACGUUCCUUCUAACUUUAGUAUUCUACUGUCCAUAGUUUAAAGAAUCAGUAGUUAAAUUCAAAUAUGGCCAUUUAUGUGGGUUCACAUUAGCUCCAAUACAUGCCCCAUACAAGACAGUUAACUUGUAGUAAAUUACACUGAUCUCAAGGGUGGUGCAAGUUAAUCAACUGAUCUAACAUGUAGGCCCUCACACUUAAUGAAGUGGUACAGAAAAGAUGAUAAUUAAAAACAUGUGACCUCAGCACUGGUCUUAGCUCACAUAAUUACUCACAGUUUGAAGGUGACCAUGAAAACGCAAUGUCCUGCAACUAUUUUUCUGUUUUGUUCCAUUCAAAAGCCAUACAAAGACAACAAUCUCUGGCACAUUACACAUUCCAUACUUUCAUCAGACAGAAGUGUGGAAACUGAAAUGGAAACAUUUACAUGCAGGGCUACUCCUAGAGAAAAAAAUUACUAUUACCUUAAUGCUUCUGUACAACAUAUUGGACACCACUGAAAGCUUCUCCUUCAUACCUAAAAAUAAACAGCAGACAAGCUUACCACUUGCAACAAGCAGAUACUUAGCACUAGGCCCCUUAAUAACAUACAUUAAGACUUUCUGAAGUCACGGAAGCAAUCAAAUGUGAAGUACUCGAGCCUUAGUUUGCAGUUUUUUUCAGAAGGCAGCAAGAAAUACAGUCAUUUAAGUAAUAAGGAAACAAGUUAUAUUCGCUCACAAGGCAAAGAAAAUAUUUGUUUUGCUAUAUACAUUUCAAACACGUAGCUUCUUCUAACAAAAACGUUUAUUACUACACACCGUGUAGAUGAAAUAAAGGCCGCACUCUGUGACAGAUUACUAAACUUGGCUUUGUUUCAGAUCAAAGCAAUUGAUGUAUAUUUAUUGCACCCAAUAACCAUGGUGUACUAACAGCUAGUAAAGAUACAAGAACUUCACUGCUCAAUAACCUAACACCUGACUCAGGAUAUCAUUAGACGAGCCGUCUCAAGGCAGAGCGAUUGCCUCUUACCUGAAUACAGCCACCUAAUUGCUGCUUGCAGAUAAGCCUACAACUUCGCUACUCUUUUGAUUCCUGCUCUUCCAGGACAACUACUGCUCAAUGCUAACAGGAUUCCCACAGAGAAAGGAGUGUCUCAGGCUAAAGAUUAAAAAAACUAUUCAUGGAGACGACAGUUCCACAGAGCUCUCUGUCAUCAUUGCACCAUCUUUAAUACCAAAGCAGUUUCAAGAGAGGGUUCACACACUGCAGUCCAUCAGUAAGUCAACUAGCAUUUCAUCUGGGUGCCUCUACAACAAUAUCUGAUCACGUUGAAACUGCAACAUCUUCAAGAAGCUUGAAGCAACUUCUGUGAUGAAUGCCUCAUAAGUGACAAGUGGUCGGGAGUGGGAAAUUCCCCCAGAUCUUCGGCUCUGAACACAGAAGAGAAAAAUGAAUGCAAUUGCCUGGCUUAAUUUUCUCCGAAUGGGCUUCCUGUGCCUCCUGCAUGUGGAAAGGGAUAUGUUAUUAGUUUUGAUAGGCUCAACACCUUUAUACUGGCAUAUGUUUAUGCGCACUUCAUGUCUUCCUUAAUGGUGAUUCUACACCUUCAAAAUUGUGCCCUCCAUUUAUCUUUAGAUGUACAUUCUAGUUUUGUUUUUAGUAAUCAUCUUCAUUUUGAGGCUGAUCCCCC